CGACUCUCGGCAACGGAUAUCUCGGCUCACGCAUCGAUGAAGAACGUAGCAAAAUGCGAUACUUGGUGUGAAUUGCAGAAUCCCGUGAACCAUCGAGUUUUCGAACGCAAGUUGCGCCCGAAGCCUUCUGGUUGAGGGCACGUCUGCCUGGGCGUCACG
rnacentral:rRNA from 1 species